rnacentral:rRNA from 1 species
UAGGGAAUUUUCGUCAAUGGGGGGAACCCUGAACGAGCAAUGCCGCGUGUGUGAAGAAGGUCUUCGGAUCGUAAAGCACUGUUGUAAGUGAAGAAUGCCACAUAGAGGAAAUGCUAUGUGGGUGACGGUAGCUUACCAGAAAGCCACGGCUAACUACGUGCCAGCAGCCGCGGUAAUACGUAGGUGGCAAGCGUUAUCCGGAAUCAUUGGGCGUAAAGGGUGCGUAGGUGGCACGAUAAGUCUGAAGUAAAAGGCAACAGCUCAACUGUUGUAUGCUUUGGAAACUGUCGAGCUAGAGUGCAGAAGAGGGCGAUGGAAUUCCAUGUGUAGCGGUGAAAUGCGUAGAUAUUAGGAGGAACACCAGUGGCGAAGGCGGCUUACUGGACGGUAACUGACGUUGAGGCUCGAAAGCGUGGGGGAGCAAACAGGAUUAGAUACC